rnacentral:lncRNA from 1 species
GUCCUAUAAUUAUAGGUUCAUACUGGCCCAAGGGACGCACAUGGAAAAUCGUUGCAAGGCACAUUAUGAGUCGAAAAUAUCCACAUCAUACAUUGAAAUGAUUUACCUUAUUGGAUUUUAUCGGGUGCGGCGUGUCCAUACGUCUAAAUCAUUAUGCGAGUCAAUGAAAUUUAUAGUAUUUAUGGUAGGUAUAGUAUAUAGUAAUCAUUUCACAGAGAUUCUUAUGUGCUACACGUUGGACACCCUUCAUAAAACAAAUGAAUAUUACAAAAAAAAAAAAAAAAAAAAAAAAAGUGGAAUGUGGUACAGGCCAAGACAGAGCAGUCAGGUGGCUGGGAUGGUAUUCAACCCAGAACCGGUGUGUUGGGAAUCGCCUCGAAGCCCAAGACGAACAGCGACCCCACACGAUGGGACGGCGGAGGAGGGGAAGCGAAGCUGGCGCUGACCGGCCGCGGCACACCGUCAAUAACGCGCUGUCCGGAAAAGGCAUGGCAAGAGGAGCAGAGUCCAACUCGCGUCUGGCCCCGAUAACGCCGCCGACGCGGAAGAACGCUAGUCACUGGUUUUGCUCACACCUUCCUGCUGCUCGGCUUGUUUGUUUACCGGCGCCUCGUCGGACUCGACUGCAGCAGCCGGACCCGCGGCGAACCGCACACACAAAGCAGGAGUGCGAGCACCUGUUGUUGCGUGGUGUCCAAAGCGAAGCUAAAGGAAGCGCCGCGAGGCUUCACCUCAGAGGCGUUGCGCAACGUGCCGCAAACCCGUCAGGAAUCCCGCAGAGGAGGAAUCUCCCACGCCCAGGAGGUCGAGACGAAACUAAACCAAUCGAAAGGCGUUCUUCCCUUAAAAUGAAAAGCAAAACUCCACGAGAAGGCUGGUUUGCCGCCACGCCGACGCGUCAGCCGCAACCGCCACGCGGUCCUAGUCGCCGGGACCGUCGUCCAGGAGGCCUCGCCGGUUGCGCAAGCUCUUGCGACACUCGCGCCGCGGCUCGGAUCCCGUUCCGUCCGGGGCGUUGCGACACACUCGCGUGCUCAUCCCCGCAGCCGCUGACCAGGCCCAGUCACGAAAAAUCCCGUUAGCAUAAACAUCACCAUUGUCCUAACUUGCGUAACCAGUCACACAUUCUCUCUCUCUCUCACACACACACACG